GGUUUUAUGAAUUUUUAUAUAGAAUCUGGCCUGCCCAGUGUUUAUGAAUGGCCGCGGUAUAUUGACCGUGCGAAGGUAGCAUAAUAAUUAGGCUAUUGAUUGUAGUCUUGUAUGAAAGGUUGGACGUGGGAAUGACUUUCUUAUUGGUAAUGGUGAAUUUAAAUAGUCAGUAAAAAUGCUGAUAUGUUAUAAAAAGACGAGAAGACCCUAUUGAGUUUUAUAUUUAUUUUGUUUAAUAUAUUUGGUUGGGGUGACUUUUAAUAAACAUUAUAUUUUAAUGAUCCAUUAUUAGUGAUUAAUAGAAUAAAUUACCAUAGGGAUAACAGCGUAAUUUAUCUGGAGAGUUCUUAUUGAUGGAUGAGUUUGUGACCUCGAUGUUGGAUUAGGAUUCCUACUAGGUGCAGGUGUUUAGUAAGGUAGACUGUUCGUCUAUUAAAAUCCUACA
rnacentral:rRNA from 1 species